UACAGAGGUGGCAAGCGUUGUUCGGAAUUACUGGGCGUAAAGGGCGCGUAGGCGGCCUUCUAAGUCAGACGUGAAAUCCCCCGGCUUAACCGGGGAACUGCGUCUGAUACUGGAUGGCUUGAGGUUGGGAGAGGGAUGCGGAAUUCCAGGUGUAGCGGUGAAAUGCGUAGAUAUCUGGAGGAACACCGGUGGCGAAGGCGGCAUCCUGGGACCAAUUCUGACGCUGAGGAGCGAAAGCUAGGGGAGCAAACGGG
rnacentral:rRNA from 1 species